GUCUCGCCCCGCACGGAGGCCGGCGCCGGGUUCAAGUAAUCCAGGAUAGGCUGUGGUCUGCGCAGUCGGCCUGUUCUCGAUUACUUGGCGCCGGAGCCGGCCGGCAGCUUCGGGUGGAGAC
rnacentral:pre_miRNA from 15 species